CCCUUAGAUGUUCUGGGCCGCACGCGCGCUACACUGACACGUUCAUCAAGUCUAUAACCUUGACCGAGAGGUCUGGGUAAUCUUUUAAAAACGUGUCGUGCUGGGGAUAGAUUAUUGCAAUUAUUAAUCUUCAACGGGGAAUUCCUAGUAAACGCAAGUCAUCAACUUGCAUUGAUUACGUCCCUGCCCUUUGUACACACCGCCCGUCGCUACUACCGAUUGAAUGAUUUAGUGAGUACCAGGGACCGAGCGCUUUGGUUGGGUUUCCUUCCCUAGCGCUUGGGAACUGUCGCAAACUUGACCAUUUAGAGGAAGUAAAAGUCGUAACA
rnacentral:rRNA from 1 species